CUAUGCGCCUUGCCAGCCCCGCCUCAGAAACUCAAAGGAAAUUGACGGGGGCCCGCACAAGCGGAGGAGCAUGUGGUUUAAUUCGAUGAUACGCGAGGAACCUUACCUGGGCUCGAACGUAAGAUGACUGUAGGUGAAAGCUUACAUCUCUUCGGAGCAUUUUACGAGGUGCUGCAUGGUUGUCGUCAGCUCGUGCCGUGAGGUGUCGGGUUAAGUCCCAUAACGAGCGCAACCCUUGUCCUUAGUUACCAGCACGUUAUGGUGGGCACUCUAAGGAGACUGCCGGUGACAAACCGGGGGAAGGUGGGGAUGACGUCAAGUCAUCAUGGCCCUUACGGCCUGGGCUACACACGUGCUACAAUGGUCGGUACAAAGGGUUGCCAAGCCGCGAGGUGGAGCUAAUCCCAUAAAACCGAUCGUAGUCCGGAUCGCAGUCUGCAACUCGACUGCGUGAAGUCGGAAUCGCUAGUAAUCGUGAAUCAGAAUGUCACGGUGAAUACGUUCCCGGGCCUU
rnacentral:rRNA from 1 species